rnacentral:piRNA from 1 species
UAGGGAACCCGUGUUAACUCAGAAUGC